rnacentral:misc_RNA from 1 species
UACAGAGACCUCAAGCGUUAUCCGGAUUUAUUGGGCGUAAAGCGCAGGUAGGCGGGCCUGUUAGUCGUAUGUUAAAGCCAGGGGCUUAACCCCUGAGAUGCAUACGAAACGGCAGGUCUGGAGAAUGUGAGAGAUCAGUGGAAUUGAUGGUGUAGUAGUGAAAUGCGUUGAUAUCAUCAAGAACACCCAAGGCGAAGGCAACUGAUUGGCACACUUCUGACGCUGAGCUGCGAAAGCGUGGGUAGCGAAUGGG